UACGGAGGGUGCAAGCGUUAUCCGGAUUCACUGGGUUUAAAGGGUGCGGUAGGCGGGCAGGUAAGUCCGUGGUGAAAUCUCUGAGCUUAACUCAGAAACUGCCAUGGAUACUAUUUGUCUUGAAUAUUGUGGAGGUAAGCGGAAUAUGUCAUGUAGCGGUGAAAUGCUUAGAUAUGACAUAGAACACCAAUUGCGAAGGCAGCUUACUACACAGUUAUUGACGCUGAGGCACGAAAGCGUGGGGAUCAAACAGG
rnacentral:rRNA from 1 species